rnacentral:rRNA from 1 species
CCCUGGCUCAGGACGAACGCGGGCGGCGUGCUUAACACAUGCAAGUCGAGCGGUAAGGCCCUUCGGGGUACACGAGCGGCGAACGGGUGAGUAACACGUGGGUGAUCUGCCCUGCACUUCGGGAUAAGCCUGGGAAACUGGGUCUAAUACCGGAUAUGACCAAAGGCUGCAUGGCUUUUGGUGGAAAGGUUUACUGGUGCAGGAUGGGCCCGCGGCCUAUCAGCUUGUUGGUGGGGUAAUGGCCUACCAAGGCGACGACGGGUAGCCGACCUGAGAGGGUGACCGGCCACACUGGGACUGAGACACGGCCCAGACUCCUACGGGAGGCAGCAGUGGGGAAUAUUGCACAAUGGGCGAAAGCCUGAUGCAGCGACGCCGCGUGAGGGAUGACGGCCUUCGGGUUGUAAACCUCUUUCAGCAGGGACGAAGCGAAAGUGACGGUACCUGCAGAAGAAGCACCGGCCAACUA